rnacentral:rRNA from 1 species
CCUACGGGAGGCAGCAGUGAGGAAUAUUGGUCAAUGGACGAGAGUCUGAACCAGCCAAGUAGCGUGAAGGAUGACUGCCCUAUGGGUUGUAAACUUCUUUUAUAUGGGAAUAAAAUGUUCCACGUGUGCCUUUUUGUAUGUACCUUAUGAAUAAGGCUCGGCUAACUCCGUGCCAGCAGCCGCGGUAAUACGGAGGAUCCGAGCGUUAUCCGGAUUUAUUGGGGUUAAAGGGAGCGUAGUUGGGUUGUUAAGUCAGUUGUGAAAGUUUGCGGCUCAACCGUAAAAUUGCAGUUGAAACUGGCAGGCUUGAGUACAGUAGAGGUGGGCGGAAUUCGUGGUGUAGCGGUGAAAUGCAUAGAUAUCACGCAGAACACCGAUUGCGAAGGCAGCAUAC